rnacentral:rRNA from 1 species
CCUACGGGUGACAGCAGUGAGGAAUAUUGGUCAAUGGGCGGACGCCUGAACCAGCCAAGUCGCGUGAGGGAAUACGGCCCUACGGGUCGUAAACCUCUUUUGCCGGGGAGCAAGGGCGGGGACGUGUCCCGGCCCGGAGAGUACCCGGAGAAAAAGCAUCGGCUAACUCCGUGCCAGCCGCCGCGGUAAUACGGAGGAUGCGAGCGUUAUCCGGAUUUAUUGGGUUAAAAGGGUGCGUAGGCGGGCUUUUAAGUCAGCGGUAAAAAUUCGGGGUGCAACCCCGUCCGGCCAUUGACACUGGGGGCCUGGAGUAGGCGAGAAGAAGGCGGAAUGCGUGGUGUAGCGGUGAAAUGCAUAGAUAGCACGCAGAACUCCGAUUGCGAAGGCAGCCGUCCGACGCCCUACUGACGCUGAGGCACGAAAGUGCGGGGAUCGAACAGGAUUAGAUACCCUAGUAGUC